CGUAUAUGCAAAGAAGCUGUGAAUAUUCACGAAGAAGAAACUGAAGUCAAUACUGAACCGUCAACGUCAAUUACUGAAAUUUCAACGUUGUCAACUACAAC